AUUGAACGCUGGCGGCAUGCCUUACACAUGCAAGUCGAACGGCAGCGGACCUUCGGGUGCCGGCGAGUGGCGAACGGGUGAGUAAUGCAUCGGAAUGUACCUUUCAGUGGGGGAUAACGUAGCGAAAGUUACGCUAAUACCGCAUAUUCUGUGAGCAGGAAAGCAGGAGAUCGCAAGACCUUGCGCUGAUUGAGCGGCCGAUGUCAGAUUAGCUAGUUGGUGAGGUAAAGGCUCACCAAGGCGACGAUCUGUAGCGGGUCUGAGAGGAUGAUCCGCCACACUGGGACUGAGACACGGCCCAGACUCCUACGGGAGGCAGCAGUGGGGAAUUUUGGACAAUGGGGGCAACCCUGAUCCAGCCAUGCCGCGUGAGUGAAGAAGGCCUUCGGGUUGUAAAACUCUUUCGGCCGGGAAGAAAUCGCACAGGCUAAUACCUUGUGUGGAUGACGGUACCGGAAUAAGAAGCACCGGCUAACUACGUGCCAGCCGCCGCUGUAAAAC
rnacentral:rRNA from 1 species